UUUUGAUUCAGUUCGGCUCUGAAUUAAUCCCAUUUCAACCAGAAAUAUUGAUUGUUUAAUCUAAUCUGCCACUGUUACUUCACAUUUCUAAACUCUCAACUCUCUCCAGUCUUGCAUUGAAGUUGAGUGAAUAAGUUUCUGUUAACGCCAAUUUUAAUUAUAAUCUAUUUGGUAUCCAUAGAUUACUAUAUACAUAAUUUAUCUAAGAUCGAAAUUACUCUGGUGGAUAAAAUGGUGUGGAACAAAAUUCUUGUCACUUGGGUGAACUCAAUAUAAAUAUAAUCACUAAAAUACAAGAGCUCGAUAGUGAAUCUAAGUUUUUCAAAGACGUCAUCACUAAAAUGAGGUUACAGCCGCCAAUAAACUCAACCGCCGUUUGGAAAGAUCUUGCAGCCGAAGUCUGGCUGUGAAGUUGGAUUGCGCAUUUUGCCCGGGGAGCAUCAGGGCUGACAGACCAGGGUAGUUCUCCACAUGUAGCAGC